rnacentral:lncRNA from 1 species
AUCACAUUUAUGCUCAUAACAAAAGAAGAAAGAUAAAACAGGAGUGGCCAAAUAAUUUAGUCCAUAGAACAAUGUAAUAAAAUACACAGAUUAGAUGUCAUUGUAUGUUAAGUGCUAAACUUUAACCAUUGUUUGUUUUAGUUUUUUUUUAAAUAUUUUACCUUUAAGUUACUAAUUUUUUUUAGCCAUUUUAGAGGCCACUUGUCAGAGCUUCAGUCUUCCUGAACUCCUUUUAUGGUACUGAAGUUGGUUGUUGAAAGUCCAAAGCUUGGGGAAAACCCCAACGAGGAAAUGUUUGACUGUGAGGUCAUUUGGACUGCGCUACAAAUACAGACGUGUGUGCGAUAGUUCGAAGCAUUUGUGAAGAGUUUUCCUCUGCAGACGACAGGAGAUUCAAGGUUCAACAAGAAAAAGACAACAUGAACACGGUUCCCCUGAUCUUCAUCCUGAUUCUGGCUGUAUGCAGCAGCAGCCAGGGGGCUUCACCAUGCACCGCUACCAGCCCUCAAUCACAGUACAUCAACUUUGUCCAGAGACACAUCCUUCAAUCUGUAUUCAACAGGAACUCAGUAACAGCUUGGGAAAUCUACCUCAGAAAGAAAGGCCUGUGGUGCAGAGAAAAAAUGCAGAGCUUCCUGGAGACCAGUCAGAACGACAUCUGCACCGCCAGUGGACGUCGAGUUAUGAACGGCGGUAAUUUGUGCAUGAGCGCCAACAACCGAUGGGUAUAUGACGUCUUUACCAACCUCUCCCGCUGUCAGAUUAAGGUAACUCGGAGACAAACUCGUGUGGUUGUGACAUGUAACAAGGUGAACAAUCGCUGCCUUCCCGUCCACUUCGAGCCCUUCACCCACAAAUACCCAAGUAUCUUUCCUUGUGUGCGAACCAUUGUUUAG